rnacentral:rRNA from 1 species
UGAGUAACCUGCCCUGGGCUUUGGGAUAACCCUCGGAAACGGGGGCUAAUACCGAAUAUGACAUUCUACUGCAUGGUGGGGUGUGGAAAGUUUUUCGGCCUGGGAUGGGCUCGCGGCCUAUCAGCUUGUUGGUGGGGUGAUGGCCUACCAAGGCGACGACGGGUAGCCGGCCUGAGAGGGCGACCGGCCACACUGGGACUGAGACACGGCCCAGACUCCUACGGGAGGCAG